UACAGAGGUCCCAAGCGUUGUUCGGAUUCACUGGGCGAAAGGGUGCGUAGGUGGUUAGGUAAGUCCGAUGUGAAAUCUCCAGGCUCAACCUGGAAAUGGCAUUGGAUACUAUCUAGCUUGAGGAGUGGAGGGGGGACUGGAAUUCUCGGUGUAGCAGUGAAAUGCGUAGAUAUCGAGAGGAACACCAGUGGCGAAGGCGAGUCCCUGGACACUUCCUGACACUGAGGCACGAAAGCUAGGGGGAGCAAAACAGG
rnacentral:rRNA from 1 species